CCUUACUAUAAGUGUUGUCUAAAUUACUGGUGCCAGAAGACUCGGUAACACCAGAAACGCGAACGUUAGUCGUCUUAAACAGGCGUAAAGGGUAAGUAGGCUGCUUUAAAUUUUCUAUUUUUAAACUAAAUUUACUUUUAAGUAAAUAAGCUCUAAAUUUAAUAAAUAAAAAUAAAAUUUUCAACUCGCAAUCCUCAGGAUUUUUAUGAGAAAAUUAAAUAAAUUUGACCUGUAAUUUUAUUAAGAUCAGUAAAAAUAGAAUAAAUUAAAGCUAGAAUCAUAAUGGAGAUAAACCAAAUAAUACUUAUGUGUAAGGAUGAUAUCUAAAGAUACUAAGUAGAAUA
rnacentral:rRNA from 1 species